AUGCCGCGCGAAUCCCGCCGCCGCGACGACAAACCAGGGGACUCCUCCCCUCCCCCGCCGCCUCCCAUGCCGCGCGAACCCCGCCGCUGCGACGACAAACCAGGGGGCUCCUCCCCUCCUCCGCCGCUUCCCAUGCCGCGCGAACGCCGCCGCGGCGACGACAGACCAGAGCGCUCCUCCCUUCCUUGCAUGCCGCUCGAGCGCCACCGCCCCGACCAGGGACACUCGUGGUUCCACUUUCGCCUCCCCAAUGGCCAGCAAAUCCCUGUCUACAAAGAUAGACAGGGAGUUCUCUUCACCGACCAUUGUGGGCCGACACGACCCGUCGCAGAUGUCUGCAAUGAACUCUUCCCCGGCCUCAUCCCCGAUCGCCCACCGCCGGUCGCAGACCCUGAGUCCAAACGCCCCGAGGAAGAUCAAAAAACGCCCACUCCAAACCCGCAAUAUGUUGAUGAUCUGCUGAACAAAGCCUAUGCUGAUCACAAACUGCAGCUGGCUCAAAGGCCUAAGGAGUUGCUUGACAGUACAACACUUGUGGAAUCAUCCAUCACUAAUGCUGCUUCUUCCUCUCUGCCACAGUCACCAUCGUGUGAGGUGCCAGAUAUCUUGGAAUUGGAGCUCAACACUACUCACUCAUUGUCUUCAUGUGUCUUUUCAUUGACGCCUACUGGUCUACUUAUUAAAUAUUUUGUCAGAGUUGAUAAGGAGGGACGUUUUCAUACAUAUCCUGAUCGCGGUGGACCCUUUCAGAGUUUACAUGAAGCUCAACAAGCUAUUGACUCACAUCAUGUCGUUGGGCGAAAUAACUUGUGCAUGGAUGGACUUUCAUCUAGGGAGAAGUCUGUGCGGUAUGCUUUAUACUGGCCUCAUGAUGGCACAAGAAGAAAUUCUGCAGAAGCCUUUGCUGCCAUGAAGACCCGUCGCCCUAAACAGGAAGUUGUUAAAGCUCUACUGGACAAGUACAACGAGGACAAUGAUCUUUUGGGGGAUCUUGCAUAUCGACUAGAAGAAAUAGUGAGAUAUAAACCAUGUUUUGACGGGAAAGACUGUGAUUAUAGGUCAUAUUCACAUUUGAAUAUGACCAUAAAGAUUAAAGGAGCUGAUGAUCCCCGCAAGAAGCUGUAUUUUGCUGAAGUCACUUGUAUGAGAGGCGAACAUGAAGAGUAUGUGCUCACCUGUAUCUGCGCAGUUGAACCUGAUGCCAAUGGUGAAUGCCUUGUCUGUGGAGAUGAAAUGAAGCACCCCAUUGAUGCUGAAUACAACCAUGGUCGCUCCACGCCAAUCUUUAGAUGUUGUUCCCAUGCAGAUGCAAAAGCCUUGGGUGAGGAGUUAAUUACCGUGCAUGAUGAGGCUUGGCUGGAAAAGGAGGAAGCUAGGGUGAGACAAGUGUUCGAGGAAGUGGCUGAGGAUAUCAAGAAGGAGAAAGCGGCGAAACUGGCCGAGGCUAUCAAGGAGGAGAAAGCGGCGAAACUGGCUAAGGCUAUCAAGGAGAAUGCGUUAAAGGAAGUGAAUGAGGCUACGGAGGUGGGCACCAUAGGGCAUGGCCAUGGAAAGAGCGCCAAGUAUGUAGUACCUGCUAGACGAAAAUGA
rnacentral:rRNA from 1 species